UUACAAUUCUUUUAUGUCCACAAAGAAGAGUUCCUUUAGUAUUUAUAGCCAAAGAAAUCAAUGAUAAGUUACAAUACAAUAACUACAAUUGUAACUCCCAUAAUAACUAGGUUAAUUAUGUGAUAAUUAUAAUUGUAACUCCAACAAUAACUAAGCUAAUUAUAGACAUGUAAUUGUUAUGUAACUCCUUGUAACUCCAAUCUUCUUAACCAACACCACUAAUUGUUU
rnacentral:lncRNA from 1 species